AAAAAAGCUUUUCAUAAUGCGCUGCUAAAUGGAUAAAAAGCCAGCGCCUGCACAUCCAAAGAGAAUUUAGACUGCUUUCCAAAAAAGCAACCCCUUUGUUCUAUUGUGUGUGUGAUUAGGCCUCUGUCACAUAUCCCUUGUGUUACAAGUGAAAUAUGAAUUAAAUUAUCUCCAAAGAGAGAGAGAGAGAGGGAAAGAGAAAGCGAGAGAGUAAUAAGAACACAUUUGUGGCAUCAUUUCAGGGCACGCAGAAUGCGAUUUGGUCUCCAGACUCACCCGGCCGCGGUGAUGCACUGCACGCUUUCAGAAUGGACACAGCUGAGGCUGAGAGUGUGAUUGAGAAGGAAACAGAGAUUAGGAUUCCCAUAACUUCCUUAUUAUCCUUUCUGCCCAAACAGAGCUCUGAGACUGAUGUACUGGGUCCCCUGAGGAGCCAGCGAUCCGAACUCUGUCUCAUGGUAUCAGUCACUCUAUCUUGACUGACACAAGCAGCGCAUCAUUCAACCGCUGUUCACAUCAUGUUCAAAACUAAGACAACAGUAGAUGGAGGAUAUGGCUGGGCUGCGGUUCAGAAGCUUGUAUGUGUUGGUUGUGUAAGUACACACACACACACACACACACACACAUAUUGCAAAUAUGUCUGAAUGCUGUAGUCCACACUAGAAGUCCAUUACUUGUUACAAAUGAAAUAGCCUAUUCUGAAAAUUGUUGGC